rnacentral:lncRNA from 1 species
CCAAAUAAUGUACACAAAUAAAAGUGUAAAUUACACUGGGUGCAAACAAAUGCCCAUGGCCUGAAAGAUUCAUUUUCAACUACUAUAAGUGUAUGCACUAAUGGCAUUUCAUAUCCUCUAUAGUACAAUUUAGAUACAUGACCGGUCAUCGUCCAACCCGGAAACGGAUUAAUAGAAGUAGGAAAAGCGAAUGGGGGUUGGAGAAGAACGACGACCCAAAAAAUUAAUAAUAAUAAAAAUAAAAACCGAAAAGAAUGACAAAAAUUGAGAAACUAAACAAAACGGCAGAAUUCAAAUAAUAAACAAGGCGUGGUCGGGGAUUCAAACUGGUUUUUUCAUUUUUCACAAAACAUCCUAGUAACACUUCGCGAAAAUCGUGGAUUUGGGGAUCAAUACAAGUCUAAGAUUACUUGUUUGAUGUAAUCUUUUGUGAUGCUCUAUAGAUGUUCACCUUCGCAUUCUUGGAGUCGAAGAGGCUGAGCUUGGUCUUUGCACUGGCAUGGUUUC